GAUGAACGCUGGCGGCGUGCCUAAUACAUGCAAGUCGAACGCACAGCGAAAGGUGCUUGCACCUUUUCAAGUGAGUGGCGAACGGGUGAGUAACACGUGGAUAACCUACCUCAAGGUUGGGGAUAACAUUUGGAAACAGAUGCUAAUACCGAAUAAAACUUCGUAUCGCAUGAUACAAGGUUAAAAGGCGCUACGGCGUCACCUAGAGAUGGAUCCGCGGUGCAUUAGUUAGUUGGUGGGGUAAAGGCCUACCAAGACAAUGAUGCAUAGCCGAGUUGAGAGACUGAUCGGCCACAUUGGGACUGAGACACGGCCCAAACUCCUAACGGGAGGCUGCAGUAGGGAAUCUUCCACAAUGGGCGAAAGCCUGAUGGA
rnacentral:rRNA from 1 species